rnacentral:rRNA from 1 species
UACGUAGGGGGCGAGCGUUGUCCGGAAUUACUGGGCGUAAAGAGCACGUAGGCGGUUCGUUAAGUCGGUUGUGAAAUCUCCUGGCCCAACUAGGAGGGGUCGACCGAGACUGGCGGACUGGAGGGAGGCAGAGGGAAGCGGAAUUCCCGGAGUAGUGGUGAAAUGCGUAGAUACCGGGAGGAACACCAGUGGCGAAGGCGGCUUCCUGGGCUUUUCCUGACGCUGAGGUGCGAAGGCGUGGGGAGCAAACCGG